ensembl:lncRNA
GAGAGAGAGAGCGCUCUGGUGCUAGCCUACAGGUUGAGUUUCUGGCUGGGGUAGAGUGGAUGUUGUGGUGCAGUUGCUGGCAGGAUGACAGUGGGAGCUGAGUGGUGCAAGGAUUUGGCUUCUCCGUGCUGCGGGGACCCUUUUGCUGGCCUGGACCAUGAGCAAUGAGUCUGCCGUCUGGAACAUCCUACCAGAAAACUCCACAGUAAGUCUGUCAACAGGGCCCUCUUCUCAGAGAACAUGUUCAUUUGUUGAGUGUGUGUCUGUGUGUGUGUGUCUCCAUGUCGCUGUGCUUCCUCUCUCUGACAGACUAGUUAAUGAGGAACAUCCUGAUCUGUGCC